rnacentral:rRNA from 1 species
CCUACGGGUGGCAGCAGUGGGGAAUAUUGCACAAUGGGGGAAACCCUGAUGCAGCAACGCCGCGUGAGGGAAGAAGGAUUUCGGAUUGUAAAGCUCUGUUCUCAGGGAAGAAUAUUGACGUUCGUUAAGGAGCAAGCCACGGCAAACUACGUGCCAGCAGCCGCGGUAAUACGAAGGUGGCAAGCGUUGUCCGGAAUUACGGGGGGUAAGGGGAGCGCAGGCGGGAAGCCAAGUCAGCUGUGAAAACUACGGGCUUAACUUGGAGACUGCAGUUGAAACUGGUAAGCUGGAGUGAAGUAGAGGUUGGCGGAAUUCCGAGUGUAGCGGUGAAAUGCGUAGAUAUUAGGAGGAACACCGGUGGCGAAGGCGGCCUACUGGACUGUAACUGACGCUGAGGCUCGAAAGUGUGGGGAGCAAACAGGAUUAGAUACCCGAGUAGUC